AGAGACGAGUCAGAGUUUGAUCCUGGCUCAGGAUGAACGCUGGCGGCGUGCAUAACACAUUCAAGUCGAACGGUGACGGGACUCGGUCCCUGAUCAGUGGCGGACGGGUGAGUAACGCGUGAGCAAUCUGCCUGGCAUAGAGGGAUAACACAGGGAAACUUGUGCUAAUACCACAUGAUGUAUACCGAUCGCAUGUUUGGUAUACCAAAGGGAAACCGAUGUCAGAUGAGCUCGCGUUGGAUUAGAUAGUUGGCAGGGUAACGGCCUACCAAGUCUGCGAUCCAUAGCCGAACUGAGAGGUUGAACGGCCACAUUGGAACUGAGAAACGGUCCAG
rnacentral:rRNA from 1 species